AUGUGUAACACAAACAAACCAGCUCUCUCAGAGUGUUUAUCUCAUGGCACAGAGCACUGUGUGCCCGCACAUCAAAGACUGUGGGAACAGACGACGCUCGGCGCAGCAGCUGCACUGGGAUCCUGUCCACACCCUUCCUGUUUGCCGCGGUCUACCUCGGGGCUAUUAUUUUCCCAACGGCCCUGCGACGAUAACCCCCCUACUGCCGUGGACACAGCUCCGCUGCCACCACCAACUCCCCGCUCCAUGCCUUUCCUCCCCACCGCACCACGUCUCUCCGGGGCUCAACGGCCCACUGUGAUGUCUGAAGCUGGCUGGCAUUGUUCUCAGGGCGCUGGGGUCAUAGACAGAGGUCUGUGUGACCCCUGCCCUGACCACCUCCUGGGGAGGCCAUGUUUCCUGUGGGUGGCGGUGCGUGGCAGGUUGUCCCCGGUUACAGGCGGGAGGAGAGGCGUCAGAGUGUGCGGCACAGACCCAGGUACUUUUCUCAUACAGGGUGAUACAUCCUCCUAGUCCAGGCACGUGAUAUCUAUUUGCCAGCCCAUUGGGAAAGAGCAGUGGCUAUCUGGGAGACGUCAUGGACACCUCUUCCUCUCCCUGCGUCUCUCUGCGGUGGUCAGUGUGAACAGCCUUAGAUUCUUCUGGGUGAUUCACAGGCCCAUUGAUGACAGGUAUUUUCCAAGCCUGGGCCUCUACAGCCACAGCUGCCCCUCCCAGUGUUUCCCGCGCUGAGUGUGUGAAGAACCGCUGGACGUGUGGGUGAUCGGGGCUUGCGAGCACCCGGCCACCCCCCAGCCACCCCCACGUGCCCCGAUAAGGGAGCUGACCCCUCUGUUGUCACAUUCUCCCAGAGAUUAGCCACAGUAGUUGGGGUAGAUUGGACCGGGCUGCCAGGGAACAGAGAACCAGAGAGAAGGGGCAGGGGUCAAGCAUGUAUGAUAGUAAUGUUCUUCAGCUCCUAUCACUGAUAAUAAGGAUCCGCCCCUUUAAAAAAAAUGAUAUACCCAAAUCUAACUGCCUGUAGCUCAGGCCCUGAAGCAAGGAUAUGCAUAUUCUUGGUACCAUUUGAAAGGAAACACUUUGAGGUUUGUGGAAAUGUGAAAGGAAUGUAGGAGAAUAUAACACAAUAGAUCUGGUAGAAGACAAUACAAAGAGAAAACCAACCUUUCUUUUGUAUUUUUUUGUACCAUCAUCUUUAAAAUGCAAGAGAGAGGCCAUAAUGUAUUAUUCCAUCCUAGGUGCAAUUUAGGUUUUGACCACUAGAUGGCAGCAGUGUAUGUGCAAAGUUUCAGACUGCUCCAAUGAACCAUUGCAUUUCUGUUCAAAAAUGUUGUAUCAGACUGCCCAAAUGUGCCUAAUUUGUUUAUUAACAACUUUUCAUGUUCACAAUUGUGCACUCUCCUCAAACAAUAGCAUUCACUCUAAUAGCUACUGUAAAUUGGACAGUGCAGUUAGAUUAACAUGAUCUAUGUCCUGGGAAAUGUUCUUGUUACUUACAACCUCAUGCUAAUUGCAUUAGCCUACGUUAGCUCAACCGUCCCGUGGACAGAACACUGAUCCCAUAGAAGAUAAGGUGUAGAGCUGUAGGGUCUUCCCAAAGUGAUGGGGGACCGUGAAAAACUCAUCUUGAGUUAGAAUAGAGUUCAUCUCAAGUCUGGCCUGAAAUAGAUGGCCAUUCCCAUGAUGCAGCUAGACUUCUAGAUUUUUUGUUGUCAUAUGGAAACUGUUAUUGCUUCUUAUGAUAUUUAUCAUAUUCUUGUUUUAUGUUUCAUAAAACAUUUGUAAAAGACAACUGAAAGUAUUCAGGUGUGUUUGCAGUCAAUACAAAGUUUUAUGUUUUUGGUUAGAAUGUUCAGACCUCUUUGAGCGUUGGGCCAGUAACUGAAAGGUUGCUGGUUAGAAUACCCAAGCCGACAAGGUGAAAAAUCUGUUGAUGUGCCCUUGAGCAAGGCACUUAACCCUAAUUUGCUCCAGGGUGCCGUACUACUAUGGCUGAACCUGUAAAACAUCAUGUUUCACUGCACCUAUCCGGUGAAUUUGACAAUACAACUUUUUUAAAUUUUUGACACAUCAAUGCCCAUCCUUAUCACUCAUCACAAACCCGCAGCACUCGCCAGUGUGUGAACACUAGCUUAUUGUAAUUUCACUGGCAUCCUUCAAUGUGGAAGAAAAGACAGUGAUAGAACAUUGGGGACACAGCCCAUAACAACAAUAUUUAGCAUUGUUUAUCAGGAGCCAGUGACCGGCUGUAUCAGUGUUGUGGCUCUAGUAGGUCUUGCCCUGAUAUCGUCUGGCUGAGAGCUCCUUCCUGGACAGCCUUGUGGCUCCUCAGGGCCAGGUCAAGAGGGCCCAGACCCACCCCAAGGAGAGAUGGUCUGUCUAGGGCUGGGACUGGGCGCUGGAGGGGAGAAGUCAGGCGAUUGUCUGGAGACCCUGAACACAGACAGUGUUUUCACUAGGAUGCCUGUGUUAUACCUCUUGCAUAACAAAAGUUAGCUAAUAUAUUCUGCACUAACAGUCAUGGUUAUUUUUGACUUUCUGAAGAUCAAACAAAGUGUAAGCAAAGUAUGCACGUGUGUGUUUUUUUGGAGGGGGGCAGUAUCUGUUACUCUUACUGGUUUCUUGGUUCGUUUUCUCCUGUGAACCACAGUAGUAGACUAAAAUACUAUUGGGAAGGUAGUUUCAUUGGCUGAAGCCAAUGGUAAAAGGUAAAAGUGUAUCUUUUUGCCAGACAACUGCUGUAUCCUGCUGCAAUUUCACAGUGGUCAGGUCAUUUUAUGUGUGGCUGAUGACUUCCUCACUCCCAGCUGAUAAUUGGUUUUACACAUUUACCACAGGAGUCCCUCCAGUGUGUGUGUGUGUGUGUGUGUGUGUGUGUGUGUGUGUGUGUGUGUGUGUGUGUGUGUGUGUGUGUGUGUGUGUGUGUGUGUGUGUGUGUGUGUGUGUGUGUGUGUGUGUGUGUGUGUGUGUGUGUGUGUGUGUGUGUGUGUGUGUGUGUGUGUGUGUGUGUGUGUGUGUGUGUGUGUGUGUGUGCAUCCCCAUUGGGCAACCUUUACCAGGAACAUUGAACAGCAUAGUGGGACUGGUCGUAGGUUAUGUGAUCAGAAAUCCUCAAUUUGUUGUCCCUUCCCUUCUUUUACUGGUAAAAACAACAGUCAGUUGUUUAACUGAUUAUUUUUUUAAGUUUGUAAGAACAUUGUAAAUGUUUAAUUUUGGCAAGGGAUGCCACUACAAUUCAUAGGUGAAAUGGACAAUGGAGUCUGGAGACAUAGUAGGGAGACCCAAUACUUCCAAAAGCAUGUAUCCCGACAGGAAACUCAGGUCACUAGACAGGAAAUAGAAACAGUGGAGUUGGAGCAACCUGUCUGUAAUAUGUCUAUAAAUAUGUUCUAUACCACUUCUUCCACCAGGAUGCCAAAGCUCUCUCACUGCUAAAAAACAUUAUAACACCAGAUAAGUGAAUGUACCCGUCCUCAAGCAUUAGACCUCUCUGGGUAUGAACUUGCAUGAAGGAUGCAUUCUGGACACACCUUAUCUGGAGAUGUCAAUCUAGAAUGGGGGAUGAUUUGUGGGCUGCUGGACAGAGUCUCUGAGCGUGUGCCUGCGAGGGGGAACUCCAGACGUGUUGCUUUUUAAAAGGCCUGACAGAAAUACAGCAGCGUGACAGGGUGAAUGGCAGGAAGGGACCUAUUAUUCUGUGCCGUUUUGUUCCAGCGUUGGCCUGUACGACGCCUGGACCCCGUCUGCCAUGUUCUCGCUUCCCAGGAUAUCCGACUCACGGCCGCCGCUCCAGCUAAAAGCCAACUAUUUCACUCCUGAGACGCACAGCGCUUCCUGAUAUAGGAUGCACUUGCUUGUCUCUCUGUGACCUUAAACACUAAUAAUGGGCCUAUAAUAUGACUCUGGAGUCAAGAGGUUUGGAGUCCGCCCGCCCAGGGCAUUGUCACAGUGACUGCUCGUUCCCACUCUCAGGAAAAAUAAACAGAGGGCCGUUUGUUUCUGACAAAUUAGACAACAAUAAGGAAGAGUCUGUAUUAUUUGGAUAGGACUGGAUUGUUGUUUUAGCAAACCUGUUGUAAUGAUAUACACUAAUGUUUUGAUUUGAAAUGUAACAGAUUCAUUUAUUGGUCUCAGACUGUUCUAAACACCCAGAAUAAAAUCCUUUAAAUAUUAGUAGACCAUUUAUGGGGCUGAAUCUGUAUGCCCAACAAUGUUUGUACCCUGUUUUGCACUGCUACCAUGUUGUGCUGCUGCCAUGUUGUGUUGCUACUAUGUUGUUGUCAUGUUGUGUUGCUACCAUGCUGUGUUGUGUUGCUGCCAUGCAAUAUUGCUGUCUUAGGUCUCUCUUUAUGUAGUGUUGUGUUACUCUCGUCGUGGUGUGUUUUGUCUUAUAUUUAUUUUUAUUUUUAAUCCCAGCCUCCAAGGCCUUUUGCCUUUUGGUAGGCCGUCAUUGUAAAUAAGAAUUUGUUCUUAACUGACUUGUCUAGUUAAAUAAAGUUUAAAUACAAAAAUAUAUAAUAAUAAAGUAAUGAUACAGGAACAGCUCUAAGUUCCCUUAAUACGUAAUGGAUUUACUCAGUAGAUCCAAGGUCUGUAGCCUAUUGCACAUUCUGUAGGAAAUCCACUUGUUUUUCACUCAUAUUGGGAGUGGCGAGAGGGGCCGUCCUUGUCUAAGCCCAAGAAAAGAGAGCGCAGGAAGUGGAGGCCCCGGUAACGGCGUCUGUUACCAUGAAGCAGUUAACUUUGUUUGAAGAAGGCAGCUCGCAGGUGACUAAGGGGCAGCCUUGUGUUUGGAGGAGGGCUUGAUAUUGUGGCUGUUGUUUUCAUUGUGUGCUGGGGACUCUGGGAGGGUAAGAACAAUAAUGCAUGUAAUGCUGAUUUUGGAACGACUCCACACAGCCUUUCCCAGGCUGGGCAGCCUUGGGAACCACUGAUACCAUGGCACAACGGGCCGGGACCGGGGCCCCAUCGCAUGGCACAGGGCAGGGGCUGGAGCAUGGGGCAGGGUGGAGGAUGGAGCAAGUAUGUUUGGGACGACGAGAAUUCUACUUCCUGCAUGGGAAUGGAGGACAAAAAAACACACACACACACUAACACACACACACAUGCACACACUCUCUCUCACACACUGACACACACAUGUACACACAGUCUCCACACACACACACUCUCUCUUUCACACACAAACACAUAGUCUCUCCCUCUCACAAACUUGCACGCACAUGCACACACACAGUACAUUAUGCCUUUGCGCAAGUCGCCCAAGACUGGACCAGCCUCAUGCUCAGACUAUUCUAAGAGGUGACACCAGACAUACUGUGUCAAGACACCGUCAAGGAGACUCGACGAUGGCAGACAUAUUUCAACUAAUGUUUUCAAGUCAUGUCCUGGGUUUUAAUCAGUGGCUCUUGUUUUCUAUCUCCCAAGGAUGGAACGUGAAAACAAACAGAUUAAGGUGGGGGAGAUGGAAGUUUUAUCCCCCUUUUGGCAAAGUAAAUGUUCAACAAUUUACCCUGUUUUGGAGGAUUUGGAGGACACGUGAAAUGAAUUUUCUAAUACUUUGCCACCUGUGUUGCAAAUUAUAAUAUCGAAACUGCCUUUGAAAUCAUCUGCAAGGGUCUUUGUGACCUUCUAAUGUUAUAGAUUUCCUUAGAUAAAUGUGGUGGGUUUGAUUACAACUAGUCAUUAACCAUGUUAAAGGAAUACAUUUCCAGUAACACACUGGUUUGAAAUCCCUUGUACGGAUAACUCUCAUCAUGGGAGGGAUUGGUAGGGAAAGUCCCGGUAGGGACUACAGCACAUGUUUUAAUUACUCCUCUAUUCCCUGGGUCACACCUGAGAGAGCUUGUGCAGGGCACUGGGCUAUGAGAGGGUGCUGACAGGUCAAUUGGCCUAUCUUCAGCGGAAGGUGGUUGUGGAUGAGUGAGCUGGGGGAGUAGAGACCAGCCUCUCAGACCCAGGAGGAAGAGAGAAGAGGUACAGAGUGUGGACACCAUGGUCACAGUGCAAAUCCACUGUAGCAUUUGAAUAACUGAUGGUGAUAGAAGGAGACAAAAUACGAAGAAAUAAGGGAGAAAAAUGUUUUUAAUAAUUUUGAGUGCUCAGUUUUUGUACUAUUUUACUAAGAUACAGUACUUUCCCUCUAGUAGUGUGGUUUGACUUAAGUUGAAGUUAUGUAUUAAUGUAUUUCACAAACAGACAUAAAAACAACCUGUUCACUAAAGAUCCCACCAAAGAGUCCACCUCUUUGUUGAAACAAAGUUGUGAAAAAUAAAUGAACGUGUGAAAGGUCAAAAGUUGCCCAGGUCCAAUAUGGAAGUGGUGCAUUUAUAAGCUUUUAGAUCAUGUGGGUUCAAUUGGGCAAACAACAAACACAAACAAUGUGAAGAAUAGAGUUAAGAGCAGCGGUGUCGGCAGUGAGGGGGGGUGCGAAGCUUGGCUAGCAGUAACCUCCCUGUCACACCAGCCCAGCCUGUGUUCCUGGCUGCAUCUCACACGACGAUUGGGUUUCACUGCAGUGCGGUGAGUUGUGGG